CGAAACUAUCCGGUACGCAUAGUAGCCUGCACAUAGUACUACACAUGCGACCUAUCAUUCCGGUACACGUAGUAGCCUGCACAUAGUACUACACACAUGACCAUCAUUUUCACUUUUACAUAGUGGCCUACACACAAUCCGUGCCACACAUGUGAUUAUUUCUGUCACUUCAUUCGUAUCCCUUUUUAUUCCAAAGGUUCAUUGGGGAAAUUUUCACUUUUUCUCACUUUUCUUUUUAUCGAUCAAUUUCAAUUUCUCGUCUUCUUGAUUUAUAACAAUACAUUUAACUUAUAUAACCUUCAUACUAUUCAUUCCAGUCCAAAAAUCAUACUUUGGAAAAAUUACGUUUUUACCCCUAAAGUUUCACAAAAUUACAAUUUUUCCCCUAGGCUCGUAAAUUAAAUUUUAUUCAAUUUCCUUACAUUUUAGGUCUAGCUGAACCAUUUUCAUAACUAUAGCAGUCCACAAUACUCACUUAUUCACACACUUGUGACAUAUUUUAUAACUUUUACAAAUUAAUCUUUUUAGGCAUUUUCAUCGAAAAUUACUUAGUACAAAUCGUUUAUCA
rnacentral:lncRNA from 1 species